GAAUCACCUUCCCCCAAAAACCUUGUUUUUUGAUUUUUUUUAUUGAUAUUGAGUUCGUAACCUUUACAAACGCUGAAAAUGGCUUUUAUAUAGCCGAAAAAAAUGAAAAUUACAAGAGAAAAUGUAUUUUGCUCUCUUUCUCGUUUUCUUUUUUUUUCCCUCUUUUUUGCUGCCGAUUUCUUCUUUUGUUGCCCUUGCUGCGUUUGUUUGUCCUUUUUGCAGGUGUACGGUGGUCGUACGGUGACGUGAAGGGCGGUGCACAUGCGAGGGGAGGUCCUGGUGGCUACGGCGCUAGAGGCUCGCGCUGUUAGGGUUUCGGCUCUGUUUUUUUAAUGUAAUGGGCUUAGGGUUAGGUUAGUGGGCUAGGUGCACUGGGCCAUUUGGGUUUAAUUUUUAAUGGGCUGCCAGUUUGGGUUGAUUGGGCUUUUUAGAUAGUGGGCUAUUGUAAUUGGACAUUUGGACUGUUAUAAUUUUGUUUGGUUUAUUUUAUUGUUUUGAUCUGAUUUUAUAUUACAGGCCGGGCAAAUUGGCCUAUUAUAGCUGCCCCUCUUUGCUCAUGUCGUGUAACGAGAAUGAAGCAAAGACUUCAAAAUGGCCAAUUUUGCCCGGUCGUGCUGAACCUUGGUGCUCUUCUUCUUCAAGUGGCUCCAUCCCAUCCUACUGCAUCUUCAGAGGUAUAGGAAUUAGUUUCUUGACCCAUUCCACCGCAACGUCGAGGAGAUAGGAUUUGUAGCUUAUAGCUUCUAAAAAGAACAAAAUUUGCUAUUUCUAGUUGGCAAGACUUGAUGCGAUAUGCUCUGCUGCAACUUCAGAGAGAUAAGAUCUAUUACUUUAAUCCGCUCCACUACAACUUCAGGGAGAUAGGAUUAUCGGCUUUAAUCUGCUCCACUUUAACCUCAGGGGGAUAAGAUUUACUUCUUCGAUCUACCCCACUGCAACUUCAGGGGGAUAAGACUUGUUUUCUCAGUCUGCUCCGCUGCAACUUUAGGGAGAUAAGACCCGAUGUGAUCUACUCCACUACUGUUUAGGGAGAUAAAAUCUGUAAUUUCCAACCUAUUCCACUGCUGGUCAGGGACGUAGGACUUGUAAUCUUCGAUCUGCUUCACUGUCGACAAGGAGGGCAAGAUCUACUAUCUUCAACCAGCUCCACUACAACCAAUGGAGGCAAGGAUUUGUUUUCGAUCUGCUCCGCUGUUAAUGCAGAAAGGCAAGAUUUGCUUCUUUAACUAGCUCCACUGCAACCGAUGGAGGCAAGGCUUUGUUAUUUAUCUGCUUCGUUGUUAACGCAAGAAGGCAAGAUCUGCUAUCUUCAACCAGCUCCAAUACAACCGAUGGAGGCAAGGUUUUGCUUUCGAUCUACUUCACUGUCAAUGCAGGAAGGCAAGAUCUGCUAUCUUCAACUAGCUCCACUACAACCGAUGGAGGCAAGGCUUUGUUUUCGAUCUGUUUCGCUGUCAAUGCAGGAAGGCAAGAUCUGCUAUCUUCACUGCUCUGUUCUCUGGGGAACAUGACCUGUAUAAUGAACUUAAUUAUGCCUAAUGAUUAGGAUGGCAUGAUCAAAAUGAAUCAAAUGCUCCUAACUAGACAUGUGUGAAUGGUGUUUGCAUGAAUGGAGAAUUUUAUUUUUCCGAGAAGGAUCCCGCUUAGGUUGUCAUUACUCGAAGUUUAUUAAGGCUUUGUGACUGACGUACUACGAUGCCUUCUCAUUUGACUGGCUUUUCUAAAGAAACAUUUAGUCAGAUUGCCCCCCAUUGUAAACCGAAAAAGUUCAGUCCAUUAGGGCACAAGAUUUGUACCAUCAUUCUCCCACUGUAAUCCAAGGGUAGAAAUAUGGCUUUUCCUCUCUUAUCCAAUUCAAGGAUGCAGGAUCUACAUCAUUCUGGUUCCUUACACCAUUCCCAGGGUGCCUACUCAUGUGCAAAUGAAGGUUCUCUUCUCCAAGGUAACCUCUUCCUAUUGCCUGAUGAUUAUUGCUUCCUUGUUUAUAUAAGCUUUGUCACCAACAUGGCGUCUUGUCAAUCAACGCAUUUGACAACAAAAAUCCAAAGAGAAAGGCUAAAUUUAGACUAUUCCUUCUCAAAUUUCCAACCUUUAAAUUUGGUGUGUUCUAAACAACAGUCCUGUUUCAGGCUCUUAUAUUAUUUAGAAACUUUUUAGAGUAAUAUGCAAAACAUCCUUUGUGAAAGUUUUAUUAGUCCAUUAAUCGUUAUUCCAAUGCAACAUGUUUGCAAAAAGGUCAUAACAAUGGAUAAGAAUAAAGUUGGUUCUGAGCAUAGCUCGCAAUGAAUAAAUUAUCAAAAAUAGUAAAGAAGGAUAAUAAAAUAAUUGAUUGGGAAUGUACAUCUUGGAAAAGAAAAAUAUUCCAAGAACAACGAAUAAUAUGAGAAUUGGGUGCCCCAGAUAUCGCAGCUUGAACUUCUCUGUACAAACUUUCUGAAGACCAUUUUGAGUUUGACAUGUGUUUAAGAGAUCUACAGUGCUUUGUCGAUGCCCCAAGAUGUCGCCUAUCCUUUCCUAUUAAUUCAGGCAUAGCAAGAUCACCACAUGCCUAGUCUGAUCCAGAUUUGCGUUGCUUUGAUUACCCCAUGCCCCCUUCUGAUCAAUAUUUGAGCCGCCCUUUUCGGGUUUUCAACUCAAAUCCCCUUUGGCCUAAGGUACCCUUUGCGGGUUUCCCCUUAGCUUCUCCAUUUUACUCUUUCAUUUUCAUUUCUCAUUUUUUUUGAAAUCCAUUAUCUUACAGUAUGGCGAUGAACCGUGGUGUCUGAUUUUGAACUGAUUACAGCCCUCAGCUAUCGUGCUGUCAUUCGAGUUCAAUGCAAUCUCCAAUACCACCCUCUCUGGAAUUCUAUGUCGGCAUAUAAUGACAUUAACGCAUGCAGUAGCCUCUAUCCAUUUGAUGAAGUAAUUAAUGAUCUCAACAAUGAAGCAAUGCCCAUUAGAAGUCUUCGAUAAUGGUGAUGUCCCUACCCCAUUUUGCUCAAAAUUUGAGUCACCCUUUUCGAGUUUUCUACUCAAAACCACCUUUGGUCACAAAGCGCCCUUUUUGGGUUUUCGCCUUGGCCUCUCCUUUUCUUUUCUUUUUCUCUUUUCAUAUUUUGUUUUGACUUUGAUUUUUUUUUGUUUUUGAUUUUGAUUUUGAUUUUUUUCUUCUUUUUUUUUUCAAUCUGAACCCUUUCGAUCAGAAUCAAUGUUUUUAUAGAUAAGAUUUCUCACUUUCAUCUUGUAUGCGAAAAACCCUCCUUGGUAUCAGGUUUCUUUCAUAGAGCCUUCUGGGGUGAAACUACGAUAGAAAAUUUUGGAUCCUCCUCUUCAAUUAGGAUAAAAUCCAACAAAACUUGAAAAGAUAGAAACUCGACUUCAAAUGGGCAAAGCUAUACUGAGUUAACAAGAAAGGCAUUGCCUCGGCAAAGAAUUUUCAUUGCGUCAUUCACACUGCAAAUUUUGUCAUUGUGCUGUCACGCAGAUUUCAUUAUCAGCAUUUAACCCGACAUAUCCUAGUAUGAUCCUACAAAGACAUCUUUGAACAAGGUCUUGCUUCAUCUUUAAGGACAGGUCAAUUCUAAUCUUUACCAAGCUCAGAUUCCUAAUGAUUCCUUGUGAGGUAGGAUUUGUCUAUCCUCCUGCUCAACCAUCCUCAAUAAGUCCGGAGGUAAGCUACAAUCUUUGUCAUUUUCAAAGUCCUGAGAUCCCUCUGUACACAUGCCUUGCUCAAAAUGAAAAUCUGAGUCUGUAGUAGUGUCAUUCAUGUCAUUGAUAUCUGAGGACCCAUAAUAAGCACCGAAGAAUAUACAAAAAAAUGUAUAAAUUUAUGAAUAAUUAUUUAUACAAUAUAAUUAUGAAUGAAUGAAUGAAUGAUGGUUUGGAAGAAAAUCCAAAAGAAUGAAAGAAUAUAGAAUUAUCCGUAAAGAAUGAAAAUAUUGACUCAAAAAUAAUCGCAAAGAUGUAUUUCAUUAGAAUAAUAACGUUCAGACAUAAGUCUGUUUCACAAAGGAAUUUCUAUCAUUUUUAGGCUAAAAACAACAAAAAUGUUCUCAACAUUACUUUAAAAAAAGCUUUAGAGACUAUAGGGUUUUCUUCCGCAGUCGAAUUGCUUAGAACACUUCCACGUUUAUAAGGGCGGAUAUCUAACAAGGUCCCUUCUUCAGUUGCUUAUGCAUUGCAUUCACUCCACUUAUCAAUUAUGAUUGGGUAAUGGAUUUUCUGCACUGGAGGAAUCAUCAAAUUUAACGAUGCUCAUACUGAUAAGCCUUUCAAUCAGUUUUUUAAAGGCAAUGUAGUUUUCUAUGGAAUGCCCCGUAUUUCCCGCAUGAUAUUCACAUUGUGCAUUUGCGUCGUGCCAUCUAGGGUACGUAGGCUGUGGAGGCUUUGUGUAGAGAGGGGCAACAAUGCGCGCUUUGAAUAGGCUUUGAUACAGCUCCUUAUACGACACCAGAAUUGGCGUGAUCUGGAGGUUCUCAGUGCCUUGUUUCACAUAAGAUUCUUGUCUUGAUGAACCUUGUUGACUAGCGACCCCUUUACCUGGAUAACUUACUGACCUUGAGUAAGCUGUGUUGUUCACCUCAUUUUCUCUUAUCCUUGGGGUUGACCUCUUAUCACUCUCUUCCGCCUCAAUUUUUCCGGCUCUUAUAGCAUUCUCAAUCAUUUCACCAUUCAUAACUAUGUCAGAAAAGUUUUUUGUUGCGCUUCCUAACAUAUGCAUAAUGAACGGGGCCUUCAGUGUAUUGAUGAAGAGUAUUGUCUUCUCUUUCUCCAAGAGGGGUGGCUGAACCUGGACUGCAACCUCCAUCCACCUCUGUGCAUACUGCCUAAAAAUUUCGCUCAAUUUCUUUUCCAUGUUUUGCAAGGUGAUUCUAUCGGGAACCACAUCCGUUACAUGACCGUAUUGUUUCAUGAAUGCCUGUGCUAGGUCCCUCCAUGAACCAAUCUCGGUGCGGCUCAAAUGAUUGUACCAUUUGGAUGCUGCCCCUACCAAACUGUCUUGGAAGCAGUGUAUUAGCAGCUGAUCAUUGUUAAUGUAGCCAGUCAUCCUUCUACAGAACAGGGUGAUAUGGGCUUCUGGGCAACUGGUCCCACUAUAUUUCUCAAAUUUAGGCAUAUUAAACUUGUGAGGGAGUAUUAAGUCUGGAACCAAGCUCAGAUCUUUUGCAUCGAUUCCAUGGUGAAUAUCGGCACUUUCCAGGGCUUUGAAUUUUUCCUCCAGCCAUUUACACCUGUCCUCUCAUUGUUUUCACAGUUCGACGUUUGCCUUCUCUUUUUCAGCCAUUUCAUCGAAAUCAGGAAUAACAAGAUUCACUGGGUUAUCUCUAGGAUUAGAACCUGAUCCAGCCUGAAAGUUCAUCGGCAUUGAAACAUCAAUUUGAAACCGCUGAGGCUAAAUUGAAACAGAAGAUCUGUGCGGAGGUACCUCGGUCUGAAUCUGCGCAUGCAAAGGCGUAAAGCCUAGAGGAUAAAUACGUCUAUCCUUGUCUUCUUCUUCAUCAUUUACCAUAGGACCAUUCCCUUUAUCUACUCCCUUGGUCAGUAGAUGGGUCAAUUCAGCCAUCGCAUCUUUUUGAGCCUUGAUCAAUUUUUCCGUUAUGUCUUCCUGAAUUUUAUCUAGCCGCUCUUGCAUUUGUAGUUGUAACCGUUCUUGCAUAUCCUUUUGCAUUUGCUCCAGUUUCUCUAAUCUUUGGUCCAUUUCCUUAGUCUUUCGAUGAAUACCAUAUUGAUGCUUAAUGGGGAGCGUUUGUCAAUUUCCAGAUUAGCUGAAAUAAAUUUACUCGUUUAGACUCUUUCAAUGGAUUGAAUGCAUGUAAUGCGAAUGCAUGAAAUGUAUGCCUAAAGAGACGUUGAUUCUGAUCCAAUUACAUUUAGAAAACUUUUCUAGAAAGCAAAUUCCUUUACAUAAAACGGAUACAUGUAUGGCCUCACCCUCAUAUUCCAAGAAACAACAUCGAUCUUUUUCUUCAUCUGCAUGUUUGAGGUAAUCUCGCCAAUAGAUGCCAUUGCUAGCUCUUUCUCUUGAUCUUGGUUGCGACCUACCCGUCUUCAUAAAGCUUGUCAGCUUCUUUAAGGGAGUUGAAACGUCGAAGGCUCUCAGACAAUCGCCUUGAAUCCUCAGGCCACGAAGUAAGGUUGCGAAUUCUUCCAUCGCUCUUCUUGGGUUUCUCAGAAUAUAUUCAGGCAACCGUAUUGUUUUCCACUUUAUCAAGGAAUCCGUAUUCCAUGACAAGCUUUCUAAUUUAGCAAUCGGAUUUGAAUCAAUAUCUAUUUCCUAAGAUGCAAAUGCAAUGCAAUCAUAAUCAAAACACAACAAGAGGGGUUAGUACAAAACAUGAGCAAACAAGGAAAACAAAAGUAUUUAAUCAGGUGACCACUAGGGGUUUGGAGUGGAUCUAUCUAGGUUAAGUUCCUAAGUCCACUGUAUGAGGGCUGGCUCUAAAGUCAAGGUACUCGAACCAGCAGAUUCCUCGGUCUUCACCCAUUAUAGGCUCAUACAGACCGAGUUCGAUUCAGGGGAAUACAUUUCCCUAUGGCUGCACGGAGAUGAAAAUCUCACGAAGACAUAGGUACGGAUGUAUCCCGAAAGUGAUUCACUACCCUGCACGGAGGUGAAAACCUUACGAAGGAGUAGCUUCUCACUCCCACUUAAAAGGACAAGACUAAACAGUCUUAUGCAAUAUGAUGCCAAAAUAUACGACUCAAUUUACAAUAAUCAUGCAAGCAAGUCCAAAGAAAAAAAACCGUAAUUUUUCAAAUCAAUUUUCAACAAUAAGACAGAAAACAAUCAAUUUUACGGCUUGACUCUCUAAAUGUCCCCAGUGGAGUCGCCAAGUUGUCAAAACCAUUUUUUACGAAAUUUGAAAAAUGGGUAUCGAUUUUGAAAAUAGAAAUGGGAGUCGCCACCGAUCAUUUAUUGACGUGUGAUCGGUUCACUAUCAAAAGUAAAUUUUAGGUCGGCGAGAUUUGAGAAAUCAGGCUCGGGAGUCGGUUACGCACAAGGAAGGGUUAGCACCCUCGUAACGCCCAAAAUUGGUAUCGAAUUGAUUGUUUAAUGUCUUAGUGUCAAAAUUUUGAAAAGAUUUUAAAAUACGAUCCUUUUAUUUUGAAUAAAAUGAAUUGGAAGAUAAAGCUCAUUUAUUUUAAAGAAAUAAAUUGUUACACUCAGUUAGUUAGAGUGCAACAUUUCAAAUCCUCAAAAAUAAGCUUAUUCUUUGAUUUUUAAAACCUAUGCAUUUUGAGAAGGAUAUCCGAUUAUUUGGGUCAAAUGAGAAAAUCAAAACCCAAUAAGUUAGGGUUUGAUUUCACAAGAUUCCUAAAUAUCGAACAUUGCCUUUAUUUUUAAAAUCCACGUCUCGAGAAAAUAACAUGUCAUAUCCAAUGCGUUAGGACACAACGUGUCGAAUUUCCGAGAAUGGGUUUUUUAUUUGAAAUUUGUGAAUUCAUUACAAAAUGAAUACUUGGCUUUCUAAAUUCAUCGAAAAUAAUCGCAACCCAGUAAUUUAGGACACGAUCUUCCUCGAGAAUCAUGAAUGCCAAAUAUUUCAAAAAUUUAUAAAAUACGAUGAUUUUAAUGUUUUGACGAAACCAAAAUAUAUACUUUCUGAAAGAUAUGCUAGAAAAGUUAAUGUAUAACAUGAAACAAAUACUUUAAUUUAAUUUGUAUAUGUAUAGGUAUUUACAAAAUAUAAGCACAAGAUACAAGUAAAUUUGUAAAUAUGUGUAUGCAUAUAUUUAACACACAUCUACAAGUAUACAUGUAAAAAAAGGGAAGGAAUGGAAUAUAUCAACAACAAAAAAUAAAAAAUGCAUGUAUAUAGGUACAUGAAAAUCGUAAAACAAAAUAAACAUAUAAAAAUUUGUAUGUGUAUAUAUUUACAAAAAUAAAAAAAUAUAAGUACAUAUGUAUUGGCAAAUCAUGAAAACACGUAUGUGUAUUAAAACUUAUAUAUGUGUACAAUGUGUAUAUAAAUAACAGAGUACAUAUAUAGAAUAAUAAAAUGUUUAUGAUAAUUCAAAAAUAUAUGUAAUAUAUGGGAACACGUGCGUAUUCUAAAAGGUGUACGUAUACAUAUAUAUGUUUGUAAAAAAAAUUACGAAGAAAAGAAGAAAGUAACAUACGUAUAAAUAUGUACAAAAGUAAAAAAGAUUUUUAAAACUAAAAUAUAGAAGUAUAUAUAUAUAUAUUGAAGUUAGGAAACAAAAAUAAAGAAAAAAACAUACGUAAAAAUGUGUAUAUAGGUAGGCGGAUACUAGACAAAAAAAAUUUGCAUAUAUAUUAUAUAAAAAUAGUGCAUGUGAAUGAAAAUAUAUAUAGGAAUAAUAAUGAUAAUAAUAAUAAUAAUAAUAAUAAUAAUAAUAAUAAUAAUAAUAAUAAUAAUAAUAAUAAUAAUAAUGGAGCUAUUAAACGAAUUUAGAAGAAACAAAUUACACAAGAGGGAUUAAAUUACAACUAAAACAAAAUUAAAUAGGAAAUACAUAAAUAAACAAAAUAGGGGCCAAUGUACAGUGCGCGAAUAACAUGGAGAGCUAAUUCGGAAAUAUUCCCAGCCCUCCUAAACACUGCGUACAAUCUGGGCCAAAAUGAAUGGGUUCAAAAUGGAUAGGGUAAAUAAAUAAAAAAACAAGUGAAAUUAAAACAAUGGAAAAGAACGAGGGACCAAUAGUGCUAAUAGCCCUCACAGACCUAGAGUACGCGGAUCUGGUCCGGCUCGGGUCAGAUCAUCGGGUCGGGCAUGCCUUUGUUGAUGCGGCGCCGUUUCUUUCACUGCAUAUAUGUAAAAAACCAAAAAGUAAUAGCUAUUCAUCAUUUUAUUUGAAACCGAAAGAAAACCUAGAAGCCUAAAGCACUAUCCUACGCCACUUCAUGCCCCGGCCGUUCAGAGGCCUCUGAACCCUCGCUCAUUCUCCAAUUGCAAUGGAGAGAACAAGCAUUCGGCCUCGAGGUAUGUUUUUCUGGUUUCUCAACCUCUUUCUAUUAUUUUUUAUAUGGUUAAUAAAAAAAACAAGAACAGAAGAGAGAAUCAAAAGAAAAAUAAAGAAGCUGAGAAAAGAGAAAAAAAAAAAAAGGAAUCACCUUCCCCCAAAAACCUUGUUUUUUGAUUUUUUUUUUUGUAUUGAUAUUGAGUUCGUAACCUUUACAAAUGCUGAAAAUGGCUUUUAUAUAGCCGAAAAAAAUGAAAAUUACAAGAGAAAAUGUAUUUUGCUCUCUUUCUCGUUUUCUUUUUUUCUCCCUCUUUUUUGCUGUCGAUUUCUGCUUUUGUUGCACUUGCUGCGUUUGUUUGUCCUUUUUGCAGGUGUACGGUGGCCGUACGGUGACGUAGAGGGCGGUGCACGUGCGAGGGGAGGUCCUAGUGGCUGCGGCGCUGGAGGCUCGCGCUGUUAGGGUUUCGGCUCUAUUUUUUUUAAUGUAAUGGGCUUAGGGUUAGGUUAGUGGGCUAGGUGCACUGGGCCAUUUGGGUUUAAUUUUUAAUGGGCUGCCAAUUUGGGUUGAUUGGGCUUUUUAGAUAGUGGGCUAUUAUA
rnacentral:lncRNA from 1 species